rnacentral:rRNA from 1 species
AUGGAUGAGUGGCGAACGGGUGAGUAACACGUGAGUAACCUGCCCCUGACUUCGGGAUAAGCCCGGGAAACUGGGUCUAAUACCGGAUACGACUGCCGGACGCAUGUCUGGUGGUGGAAAGUUUUUUCGGUUGGGGAUGGGCUCGCGGCCUAUCAGUUUGUUGGUGAGGUAAUGGCUCACCAAGACGACGACGGGUAGCCGGCCUGAGAGGGCGACCGGCCACACUGGGACUGAGACACGGCCCAGACUCCUACGGGAGGCAGCAGUGGGGAAUAUUGCACAAUGGGGGAAACCCUGAUGCAGCGACGCAGCGUGCGGGAUGACGGCCUUCGGGUUGUAAACCGCUUUCAGCAGGGAAGAAGCGCAAGUGACGGUACCUGCAGAAGAAGUACCGGCUAACUACGUGCCAGCAGCCGCGGUAAUACGUAGGGUACGAGCGUUGUCCGGAAUUAUUGGGCGUAAAGAGCUCGUAGGUGGUUGGUCACGUCUGCUGUGGAAACGCAACGCUUAACGUUGCGCGUGCAGUGGGUACGGGCUGACUAGAGUGCAGUAGGGGAGUCUGGAAUUCCUGGUGUAGCGGUGAAAUGCGCAGAUAUCAGGAGGAACACCGGUGGCGAAGGCGGGACUCUGGGCUGUAACUGACACUGAGGAGCGAAAGCAUGGGGAGCGAACAGGAUUAGAUACCCUGGUAGUCCAUGCCGUAAACGUUGGGCACUAGGUGUGGGGGGCAUUCCACGUUCUCCGCGCCGUAGCUAACGCAUUAAGUGCCCCGCCUGGG